rnacentral:rRNA from 1 species
AUUAUGGAGAGUUUGAUCCUGGCUCAGGACGAACGCUGGCGGCGUGCCUAAUACAUGCAAGUCGA